rnacentral:rRNA from 1 species
AUUGAACGCUGGCGGCAUGCCUUACACAUGCAAGUCGAACGGCAGCAUGAUCUAGCUUGCUCGAUUGAUGGCGAGUGGCGAACGGGUGAGUAAUACAUCGGAACGUGCCCUGUAGUGGGGGAUAACUAGUCGAAAGAUUAGCUAAUACCGCAUACGACCUGAGGGUGAAAGUGGGGGACCGCAAGGCCUCAUGCUAUAGGAGCGGCCGAUGUCUGAUUAGCUAGUUGGUGAGGUAAAGGCUCACCAAGGCGACGAUCAGUAGCUGGUCUGAGAGGACGAUCAGCCACACUGGGACUGAGACACGGCCCAGACUCCUACGGGAGGCAGCAGUGGGGAAUUUUGGACAAUGGGCGAAAGCCUGAUCCAGCAAUGCCGCGUGUGUGAAGAAGGCCUGCGGGUUGUAAAGCACUUUUGUCCGGAAAGAAAUGGCUCUGGUUAAUACCUGGGGUCGAUGACGGUACCGGAAGAAUAAGGACCGGCUAACUACGU